GGUGUGCUUUUUCAUCUAGCUUCUCCUGCCACUGCUUAAAGUGUCCAUGAUUCUUUAAGGUGAGCUGCAGUUUAUGGCCCCAGGGCAUACCUGGGGGGGGAGCAUAAUGUGCUUAGGCCCUCCCCAAAGUGAGAAGGUUAGGAAGUACUUAGUGAUUUUGUGUUCCUUUUUAGCUUUGUUUAUAGAGGGAGGUUGUUUCUUUUCUGUAGUGCUUGUAAUAAUUCUCACUCCUAACCUCACCAUCGUUGUGUCUCGAAUAAGUUAGAGGUAGCAUUAUAGAGAAUCUGGCAUAAAUAUUUGCAGUUGUGAGACCCAAAGCGAUAGUUAUUGGUGGAGCUUGAAUUCUAGGCUGGUGAGUUGGCAGCUUUGUGCCUGAGAGGGAGUGGGUGGUUCUUAGGCUUCAGUGAUUCCCCCCCACCCUUUUUUUUUUUUUUUUAAGGAAAUUGUGUUAUAAUUUUGGUAAAAGUGUAAACCCCCUCCCUCUGGACAAUACUUAGUGGCAGUUGCUAAAGGGGGCUCUUUUUUAAAUACAAGGACAAAAAUGGAUGUACUGCCAAUAAUUAAAGUAAAUUUCCAACACUUACUUGCCGCACCCUCUCAACGCCCCCUUUAUCAUGUUAAACAAUCUUUUCUGCUUUUUUCUUAUUCCUCCUCUCCUGGAGAGCUGUGAUUAGAAACCACACCCACCCUUGAGUGAAAUGCUUGAACUGGGAGAGGGAGGCUGGCUACCUGUGAACAAACAUUGGCCCAAAUAAGGGAAAAUAAGUGUCCCUGGACUUUGGACUAGUUUAUAACCAGAUAGUCAAAAAGCAGCAAGAUGUUGCUCUCUGCCCUCUCUGAAAACAAAUAAGACCCAUAACAUGCUUACACAACCUUUUAAAAUAUAGAUCAGUGUUUUGCUACCUCUGUAGUUUUCUGAGAAAGCCUGUAUGUUGAUGAACACACACACACACCACACACUUCUUGGCAGUUGGUUUGCUUUACUAAUCUGUUUAACCAUUCCUUCGUUCAUUAUGAAAGCCUAUAUAUUGAUGAACACACACAUACAGAGGUUUCUUUGCUGUUAGAAAAUUCUGUUUGCUUUUCUAAUCUGUUUAAGCAUUUAUUCAUGAAGAGUGUGGGGCCAUUAAUGGGGAAGGGGGUGACAGUGCCUCAGCCAACAAAAUUCCAGUGACCAGUACUGGGUACUAAAUUUAGGAAGCUAAAAUGGCCAGAGCAAUUAACAUUUGAGAAAGCCUGUCUAGGAAAACAACUGGGGUCUAGGCAUGUGUAAUUCACUUCUACCAAAGUUGGAAAAGUACAAUUUAAGCCUAGGUCAGUUUUUACUUCAUGGAUGUUAAUUUGACAAAUGCAUAGUUCCCAGAGGGAAUUGAAACACUGUACUGGUGGGAAGAAACCUAGUAUUAAGGACUCUCAAAAACUUCAUAUUUAUUAAAAUGCACUGCUCUUACCCAACUUAUCCUCCAAAUCAAAAUUAAAAUUUCAGUGGAUUCUACAAAAUCUCCUACAAAUAGCUACAUAACUUUGUGCCUAUUUUAUUCCUCUAUUUAUUCUUCUAGGAAGAAGACUCUUCCUAGAAUCUUGAAAUAGAUCCCUUGACUGAGUGCCAAUUCCUCUCCUGUUUUUCAAAUGAGAGAACCUUCUCUGAUCACCUUGACCUUUUCCCUCAUUUCCUAUAUCUUCCCAGAAAGUACAUAGACUGCUCUGCUGCCUUCAGUCAUUGUGCCUAAUUUGGGUUCCCCCUCCUUUUCUUUGUGGAGAAAUCUAGAAAUGAUGUGCAGUGUAUCCAAAAGCUGUGGGAUGAAGUGGGUGAAAGUGAUUUAAUUUAUUUUUGAAUUUCUUGUUUGUUUUAGCAACAUGCUGAACAACUAAUUGACUUUAAAAAAUAAGCCAGUUAAAACAAAGGAUGCUAAGCCUAAGGGGAGGCAAUGUAAGUCAUGAUCUUAGGAGUCUAAUUCCAGACCAACUUUCAGAGGCACUUCUUUGUCUCUGUUCUCACCUCUGCUGUCUCUCUCUUCCCUUAUCCCCUAAGAGAGGCAAAGAUACUGCUUCCCUAAGUCUUACUGAUAUCAGCCACCCCAGGGGAAAGAAACUGGAUUUACUUAUGGCCACCCCCUGUUUCCAUCCAUAUACUUAUUUCCCCCAAUUUGCAUGUGAUUAUGGAAACAAGUCAUGCUCAUGAAAACAACUGUAAAAUAAAAGGUUGUGGAGUAGUUCAGCAACUUGGUCACAGCCAGCUUUGUGAAGCUGGGGCAGACUUAGGGCCCAGUUGAGUCUCAUGUACAGCUUCAGGGCUGUCCCUUUAAUUCGAUUUUUAAGCAAUGCUUCACUUAAUAGUUUAGGGGAUGAGGAUUCGAUUCAGGUAGGUUGUCUAAAGGAACUAAUGGGACCUCUCAGUGAAUCAGCUGAACAGAUUUUAGGAAAUCUUUUUAAUUUCUAUGAUUUCCCUUCUCACAUUUUGAAAUGGUCAAAUUGGCUGGAAACAAUUUUUCUUGGUGCCUUAUUGGUUUAUCCUUGCAAACCUUUGUCAUAUUUUCUCAUGACCAUUGCCAGUGACCAAGGCCCAUGUGUGUGUGUUGUGUGUAAUUGUGCACAUGUCCAAGCUUAAAUAAUGUACCGACAGCACUGUUUCAAAGUUGGUAUUCAUUAGGCUGUUUCCUUCUGGGCUGAAGCUGCACUAAUCCUGACGCUGGCUGCCAGGAGAAAACCUCAUGGAUCACACACCGAACCUUAAUAACAGCAUCCGUGACCUGCACUCUCCAGUACAGAAUGGGAACCCCAGAGCUAGGAAAUGUAGUUGUAUAUUUUAAUGAACUGCUACCCCUGCCAGAGAAGCUUCUUUCACUUUUGUGCUCUACAGAAAGCCCAAGGGGGGUAGGAGGGACAAAGCUUUGAAUAACUGCUUUCUAACACCAAAUGUGGCCAACAGGACAGAGCACAUCACACAUGUAGGCAGGUGUGAGGGACAGUGGCUAAGAAUUGCCUGCUCCCUCUGGCUGCUCUUGUUUCCAAAGUCCAAUCAGGUGAUCCUGGGAAAGAAAGCUGUCUAGGUUGGGGAGGGUCAUUCUGAAAGAACUGCCAAGACAUUAAAGCAGGGUGAAGGGUAGGCAGAAUAUAAGUAGCUAACCUGAGUCAAGGCUUUCAAAAGCUUCUUGUAACCUGAUAAUUACAGGAUUUAUUUCAGCCAGGAUAGUGUCUGUCUGCGGGUACAUCAUUUUAAGACCAUAUGAUUUCAUGUUGUUACAAACUGUGUGUAUAGUAUGUAUGUUUUGUGGGUGUGUAUAUACAUAAUAUAUAUUAUAUAUAUGAAAGAUUUGGUGACUUUUGAUACGGGUUUGGUGCAGGUGAAUUUAUUACUGAGCCAAAUGAGGCACAUACCGAGUCAGUAGUUCGAGUCCAGGGCAUUGAAUACUUCUGAUUUCCACAUAUGUAUAGUGCCUAUCCCAUGCAGUAGUCACUGUCAUGUUAAAUCCAGGCAUUACACAUUGGAGCCAGCGAUAUUUUAUUUGUAGACAAUCAAUUUGAAUCCAUAAAUUAUGACUGGCAGAUGAUACAUGAUUACAAUUCUGAAUCUGUAACACUUACAAAAGGAAACCCAGAGCUGCUGGAUGAGUUUUUGUUUCUGCUUCGUUCCUGGGAGUCAGUAGAAACAGCAGUUGUAUGUGGUUAUGUUAGUCUCAAGAUACUUCAUUUGUUGACCUUCAGAAAAAUUUUGUAUGUAUUAUAUUUGUGGGAAGGUAAAAUAAUGGUUUGAGAUUUUUAUCAAAUAUGAAGAUUAGUUAUUUAUGAAAAACAAAGAAAUGUCUAUUUUUCUUUGUUCCCAAUUAAUGUAGAUAAAUUUUAAAAUGCAUUAAAGUAAUGGUAAAGACAAUACAAAGGUGCUGUAGA